CCUACGGGAGGCAGCAGUGGGGAAUAUUGCGCAAUGGGCGAAAGCCUGACGCAGCGACGCCGCGUGAGGGAUGAAGGUUUUCGGAUCGUAAACCUCUGUCAGAAGGGAAGAAGUUGCAUGGGGCCAAUCACCUGUGCAUUGACGGUACCUUCAAAGGAAGCACCGGCUAACUCCGUGCCAGCAGCCGCGGUAAUACGGAGGGUGCGAGCGUUAAUCGGAAUUACUGGGCGUAAAGCGCACGUAGGCUGUAUGUCAAGUCAAGGGUGAAAUCCCACGGCUCAACCGUGGAACUGCCUUUGAAACUGGCAAACUGGAGGAUGUGAGAGGGUGGCGGAAGUCCUGGUGUAGGAGUGAAAUCCGUAGAUAUCAGGAGGAAUACCGUUAGCGAAGGCGGCAAUCUGGCUGGAAACUGACGCUGAGGUGCGAAAGCGUGGGUAGCAAACAGGAUUAGAUACCCGAGUAGUC
rnacentral:rRNA from 1 species